CUGCCAGUCAAGUGCAGCUGCUGGGCUCGGUGCCCUGCAGCUGGUUUCAUCCUGGCUAGAGAACGGCCAGAGUACGAGCCCCGGCGUCCACUAGUGACGCCUGGGGUCCCUGAUGACGGCUACACUC
rnacentral:snoRNA from 1 species